rnacentral:lncRNA from 1 species
UUCAACCAUGUUUAAGAAAAAAAUUGAAUGUCAAAAAAAAUGUUUUAAGAAAAUUUGAGUCCCCUUAGGAACAGACAAACUAAUCAAAAUGUUAGCUCAACUAACGUAACUGUCAUGCUGAAAACUGAAACUACUCGCUCAGUUGAUCGAUUAACUCCUGUAUCUUGAACCAUUCACCCACUGAACAGUUUGUUGUGUAUAUCAACGCCGUAAGCCUGCUAAUCUGCUAUGAGAAUGAGAUGUUAAAUAAAUGAUGAAAAGUCCAGUGCAUCCUGAUUAUGCCUAUCUAUCAUCAAGUCAAAGUUCAAUGAAUAGUAACAGCACGUCGCAAGGUUAAGCUAGCAAAUGCUAACUGACUGAACUUCUACUUACUCCUUCAAAAUGAAACAAAAGAUCAUGUGAGGACAAAAUUUAAUACUUCACUGCGGAAUCUUAAACUUCAGUUAUGUGAUCUACUUUCCACUUUCAUGUCAAAUUCCUGAUAAUUAAUUUUUGGGGUAGUGAAACUCCUCAUGGCCGAAAACAUUAUACAUGUUGCUCGGUUCUUGUAUGCACAGGUUUGCAAAAACUAAACCAUAAAUUAAUUACCUUUUUUACUUGUUUGUUGUAGAUGGACAAGAAACUAGCCAUCACCGUUUUCAGCUUCCCACCAGACAAGGGC